rnacentral:rRNA from 1 species
UACGGAGGGUGCGAGCGUUGUCCGGAUUUAUUGGGCGUAAAGAGCUCGUAGGCGGUUUGUCGCGUCGGCCGUGAAAUCUCCACGCUUAACGUGGAGCGUGCGGUCGAUACGGGCAGACUUGAGUUCGGUAGGGGAGACUGGAAUUCCUGGUGUAGCGGUGAAAUGCGCAGAUAUCAGGAGGAACACCGGUGGCGAAGGCGGGUCUCUGGGCCGAUACUGACGCUGAGGAGCGAAAGCGUGGGGAGCAAACAGG